GUAUGUUUAUUGUGUUUGGUGUUGUGGCAGUGAUAGUGAUGGUGUUUUCUGGUUUGCUCCUUUACUGUUGCUGCAAGAAUAAUAAAGGUGUCAAACAGAGUGAUGAUACAGACUACGAUGAUGUUGAGACUCUGAUGCAGAAGAUGACAGGAGAUACCUGGACCACCAUCACCUACCGUACAGCAGGACACCAAACACCUUCAUCUGCU